UGAUACCGGAAAGGUCCUGUAUCUGCCCUGUCCCGCAAGGGAGCCACCAGCCUCCUGUGAGCCUCUACCGUGGGGACUGGAUCUCCCGCCUCCGGGAAGCACCGGCCAGGACCGAGUGCCGAGACAGAAGGCGACCCCGGGGGAGUCGUGCGGACACUCCACUGCCCCUAAACGUCCAGGAGGUGACCCUUCCUGGCCCAGGUGACGCUGACCGGGGCCCAGAGGCCCUGCUCUGACAGGCAGAUGCUACCUGGGAGGCAGGGCCAGCGCGGACACAGGACUGUGGGACAGUGUGUCUGUCAGUAUGGUUCCUCCGCUCGCCCCUAAAAUGGCCCCUGGUGGCUGAAGGAAUGAACGCGGAGAAGUACCUGGCA